UAUUGUCUGAAUAAAGCUAUCAUGAUGUUUCUUCGCAACUGCUUGGUUUCUUGUGUGCACGUUCUGUCUUCCUUUGCCCGAAGGUGUGUUAGGUCUCUUCGUGGGGCUUUGGGACUGGGCCCGUCCCAAAGCCAGGGUGGGGACUGUACUGAGGUGACCGAGGUUAUGCGGGCACUACCUCCCGGUAGUGAUGAGGUCAUUGCUUUGGCUGUGACAGAGGAGCUGUCUACUGAAGUGACUCCCUUUGCUAGCCAGGACCCUGUCCGCCCCGUUGAUGUUGCGGUAAUCCCAGAGGAUACGCCCGCCGCUGACGUCGAAGGCAGCAAAGUAAGACCAUCAAAUUCUGUGGAUCAUAUUUUCUCAGAAGCAAAGAAAGAGCAGCUAAGUGUGAUUGACUGGGUUGUAUUAUGAAGCAAGAAAGGAAUAUCAAAGUGCAAUGGACAGGAUUUUCUCAAGGAGAAAAAGUACAUGAGGAAGGAACAUAAAAGUGCAAAAGUUCUUCGUCAUUGUAAUAUGCAUGUAUGUUCCAAAAUGUCACCUACUUUAUAUUGUUUGAAAACAAUGUAAAGUAUAUUUUUCAUGAAUUUAGAGUCACAGUGACAAUGACAUAAGAUUUCAAAUCCACAUAUUAAGUGGUUGAAGUCAGCAACCUUUAUUCCUCAGCCAUAGAUUAUAGGGAGAAUUGUCACAGGUAUAGGUACCUUGGUAGCAGCAAUAAUCUUCUGCAAGCCAGCUGAAUGACCUCCUCACUUUCCUACACAGCAAGUCUAGUUUUGAACACACAUUGGUGGAGGACAAGAGAUUUGAACACGGCAACUUUAACUACUUGGCUGUGGAUAUUGGGAAGCACAAGCAAGGUUUGGAACCUACAUUGGUGAUGGCCAAAUGAUUCAAAAUCUUGGCAAGAGAUUUUUGGAAACAUUGUUUCAGGCAUGGGCAGGCAGGCACACUGGUAGAACCUUUCUUCCCCCCAAGCAAGGUUUAGAACCUACAUUGGUGAUGGCCAAGUGAUUCAAAAUCUUGGCAAGAGAUUUUUGGAAACAUUGUUUCAGGCAUGGAAGACACCUAGAUAGAAGCUCCAACCUUCCAUUAGCCAGCUAAAUAGCUUCUUUACAUAAAGAACUCUACACAGCAAAUGUAUUAAAAGAAGUAAAGUUCAACUAUCAACAGUGAAAACUAUUCUGGCUGUGAAGAGUUUGAGGCUCAUGAAGAAUGUGUUCAUCACUUGUCAGCAAUUACAGAACAGAGAUUACAGGAUCAUCAAAGACUGAAGUUAAGUUGCUUGUUUCUUGUUUAAUACUUAACUUUAGGAUGGCAUAAUUGAAAUCUGAGAAGUUAAAUUUUACAUUUAUACUCUGUAGCAGAUACAUAUAAAGAUGUUAACAUUUUGUUGCUCACACUGUAUAUGCAUUACAUGUUGAUUUUUUACUUUAAUUUUACUAUAGUUAAAGGUAUAUUUAUAUUAUUGCCAUGAAAUUAAUGUUUAUUUAUAACUUUCAGUUGCAGAACUAUUCCAGCUCUGAAGAGUGUGUUAUAUCACCUGCCAGUGGUCAUGAGCUGAGCAAACCUGUCAAGCUCAUUACAGAUUUCACAAUAUUGAAAUGGAGGGAAAUGAAGAGAUGAUAGAUUCACAAGGUUCCCAUGACGAUUUUGGAGGGAAUGGAAGGGACAUGUAGAUCAUUGACAGAUGAAAUGAGGAAACAAGUGCUAGGUAUUUACAGUGCAGCCUCUGUAGAGCAACACCCUUUUUGA
rnacentral:misc_RNA from 1 species